rnacentral:rRNA from 1 species
GAUGAACGCUGGCGGCGUGCCUAAUACAUGCAAGUCGAGCGAACAGACGAGGAGCUUGCUCCUCUGACGUUAGCGGCGGACGGGUGAGUAACACGUGUAUAACCUACCUAUAAGACUGGGAUAACUUCGGGAAACCGGAGCUAAUACCGGAUAACAUGUUGAACCGCAUGGUUCAACAGUGAAAGACGGUCUUGCUGUCACUUAUAGAUGGAUCCGCGCCGCAUUAGCUAGUUGGUAAGGUAACGGCUUACCAAGGCAACGAUGCGUAGCCGACCUGAGAGGGUGAUCGGCCACACUGGAACUGAGACACGGUCCAGACUCCUACGGGAGGCAGCAGUAGGGAAUCUUACGCAAUGGGCGAAAGCCUGACGGAGCAACGCCGCGUGAGUGAAGAAGGUCUUCGGAUCGUAAAACUCUGUUAUUAGGGAAGAACAAAUGUGUAAGUAACUAUGCACGUAUUGACGGUACCUAAUCAGAAAGCAACGGCUAACUACGUG